rnacentral:rRNA from 1 species
UACGAGAGGUGCAAGCGUUAUUCGGAAUCAUUGGGCGUAAAGGGUGCGAAGGCGGCAAAAUAAGUCUGUUGUUAAAUAUUUUGGCUUAACCAAAAAAGUGCAAUGGAAACUGUUUUGCUAGAGGGUGAGAGAGAGAAGUGGAAUUCCAGGAGUUAGCGGUCAAAUGCGUAGAUCUCUGGAGGAACACCGAUGGCGAAGGCAGCUUCUUGGCUCAUUCCUGACGCUAAUGCACGAAAGCGUGGGGAGCAAACAGG